CAGAAGCUCAAGUAAUUGGUAACAUCCCAUCUAUAGUCAAGAGCCAAGAGAGACUACAUCCUUGUGCUUCCGCUAGCCUUUUUCUCAGGAAAUGGUGCUUCCCAUAUUGGACUGGGUCUUCUAUUAGUUAACAUCAAGACAAUACCAUAGCACCCCACGGACAUGCACACAGACUAAUUUGAUCUUGAUACUUCUUUCUUAAGACUGUCUUCCAGGUAAAGGCCCUUGAGAUUUCCAUCCUAUUUUGUAUGCACAAUCUUUUAUUUAACCUCACCAAUUUGUCCUCACAGCCUUUUACUAACCAGUUUCUCCUUUAUAAAAAUCGUCCUGCUGCUGUAGGCUGGUGCUGUUGACUGGGUCCCUCCGAAGGCUCUAGCACUCCACCAGGGCUGGUUCUCGGCCAGUGGAAGAGUACAAAUAUUGGUACUGCAAAUUCAUGCUGACCUUGCGGCAGCAAAAGGACCUGGAAGACCCUGUACCUGAUGCUGGGGCACAAAAGAGUUGGUAUCUGGACUGGAGACAUAGCUCAGCAGUUAAGACCACUGAGGAACCACGUGGUGGCUCACAAUCAUCUGUAAUGAGAUUUGGUGCCCUCUUCUGGUGUGCAGGUUCCUGUCCUGACUUCCUUUGAGGAUGAUGAGCAGUGUGGAAAUAUGCAGGAGGUAGGGCUCUCCUGGGCCAAGCAGAUGGCGGAGUCCCAGAACAGGCAUUCUUCACGCCGUCUCCUGUGAUCUGUUCCUCUUUUGACACAUGCGUCAGAACUCUGUAUGUGCCAUGGCGUUGCCUCUCCCUGCUCAGCAGCAGCCUCUCCUAGCCUACUGCCAGGUGUACCGCAGGUAACUUCGGAUUGUUUGGAGUUUGUUAGCCUGGGGUCUGUGUGCAGAAUCAGCUGUUCCAGCUGCAGGUGAUCAAGACUCAAACAGCAGCUGGGAUCUAACACACCCACCCAGUGUACAGACAACUGGCAUUUUUUUUGUGGGGUGGUUUUAGGUAAGCGGUACAUCAAUUAUAUAUUUGGAAUACCUCUUUUAUGGUAACUUGCAAAAAUGCAAUUGCCUCUUGGCAGAAUCGGUCAAAAUGAACGAAUUGGCAUGGUAAGCUCCACUUCACCCUGCGGAAGCUCACCAGUGUGCCUUUCGGAACCUGAACACACCGGACACCGAGAGCACAAAGGUUUUUAUACAUACAUGUGCAACUCAUCCAAUAAAGCUUUCCCUUAGUACAUACUGAUGUUAUGCUGGAUGCAGCAGCAGAACACACGCCUGCAAAUGCGUGCACUUGAAAAGAGGUGUGUGAGCGCUCACCCAAGCCUGUGUGUGCGGAGGUCAGGGACUGAUGGCGACCCAUGGGUGCCCUCCUCUAUUGCUCUUCCCAGCAUGUGUUUCAUCAACUGAGCUCUCUUCAGCACCUACUAUGGUGUCUUUCUGUGAACCUGGAGCUAGAUGCCAGCAAGGCCCCAGGGCCUCUCUGCUCCUGUCCCUCCCCAAGUGCGAGGGUCAGAAAUGUGAGUGGCUGCAGCUGGCUUUUUCCAGGGUGCUGGGAGUCCAAAAUCACUUUGCACACCGACCUUCAGAAUAUAUGGAUUCCUGUUUUUAAAUCUAAUGGUCUGUGUCAUGAAGGCACUGAUGCCUCAGGAUAGAACUGAUAAGGAAGCUCCAGGCCAAGGCCCAGUCCUUUCUGCAGUUCUGUUUCCAGGACUUCGCAGCUACACUUACACGGGCUCCCAUAGAGGCCUGUCAGCCAGCUAGCAUGGACUUCAUACAGCCCCCGUCAGGUUACACUGGUCAGAUGCUGAUAGCGCCUACACCAAGAAGCUGUAAAAAUAAGUAGGCCUGUAUAUUGAAGCAUCUGGAAUACAGCAGUGUUUAAUAAAUAAUCACCCUCCAGGCCAGCCUCAUCAUAAAUCUGUGCCUCCAAGAACAUCCAGAAGUCAUAUUGUUUCCAGAAGUUGUGUUAUUUUCAGGUCUCAGAAGCACCCAAGUCCACAGACGGACAGACUGCUGGAGCUGAAAGCCUCAGACAGCCACUCACGGGUGGGCAGAACGCUGAGUGAAGAUGCUUCUGACUCACGGGUGUCUGGAUCUCAAAACUUAGCUUCAAGCAUUUAAAAAUAAGAUGUCAUAUGAUCAUCCCAAGCCCUGACUUCCCUUACAGGCGGCC